UUCGUUUUGUUUGCUUUCCACUUGCAAAGAGGCUCUCGCUUAAGGCUCUGAAAGUUGAACCACAUUCUGCGUUCCAUCUUGCCCGCCCUCGUACAAAAGCCCUGCGUUCACAGCUCUGUGGAGUGGAGGUCGGAGCGCGGAAGGACUGAGGCUGCUGGCGCUUUCGUGCUAAGAGUGUGCAGACUUCAGGCUACAGGGGAGUCAGCAUUUCUCGCAGGGUCUCGAGACUCCUUCCUUGGCUGUUAGCAUUGUUUUAGUUUGUCUGGUUUGAACCAAAGCCAGCUGAAUCUCCUCCAAGUUCCAGUUUUGGUCAGAUCUCAGGAGACAGCCUGUCUGGUUGUUCAGACAACAAAUAUCUGCCUGAAUUUCCACCCCAACCUGGAGUCAUGGCAGAUCACUGAUACCCUGUGACCCCACCAAGGGUCCGCAUUUGUGGUGGAGGGAGGGUAACAACAUUAAGCGCUGUAAUCAACACAUCUGAGGUUACUGAAGCCUAAAUAAGAAAUCCAACAAGCAGACAGGGAGGCUACAGAGCCAGUUUCGCUCUUGCACAAUCAGUAUCUCCUGCCAGGCAUCCAUGCAUCUUCAAUUUUUCCUGUAUCUACUCAUGGACGUCUCCUUUCAUGGGCUCAAAGCACUUUUGAUUGCCUGCCAGUAAUUAACGAGCAUAUAAUGGACCUGACCCUGAUCAGUUACCUGAAAAGAUAGGAGAGAACCAGAAGAGAGGUCUCCACUCGCAAGGAGUUAUAAUCCAGAGGUGGAGAUAAAAAAAAAUGGAACAACAUUAAAAAUGGCAUGGAGAUAUGGGAUUAUUGUACAGUACACAUCUUCGGGGCUUCUGGAUCAAUAGUUACGUCUGUAAAUGGGUGAGAUCCUCUUCAGAUUGGCCUUUACAGGCUGUCCGUGAAGGGGGCAGAGGUGCGGCGGGAUUUGAUCUGGUGCUUUAAAUAAGCUACUUUUAAAACAUUUUGGAAUUGAAUUAAAAUUAUUUCAAAUAUUUUUCAUUUAAUUACAGUCUGACUUUUUAAUUUAGUGAAAAAUUCCUCAUCAAAUUUAUGUUCAAAUGUGUAAGAAUAUGUAUAUUUUAACGUAGCCUUUUCUCUUCUCUUUCUUCUUACAUCUAUCUGUCUACAUACAUAUAUCUCUCUUCCUGUUUUUUCUACCAGGAAACUCUGAGCAAAUUUUAAUGCUAAUGCUAAUCUACAAAUGCUCAUAUAACUGAAGUAUCUGGUAAUUAAUAUUAUAAACAACUUAGUAAAGAGGCAGGUAGGUAUAAUAGAAAGAGCCUGGGCAUCGGAGAAACGAGCAUGAGUUUGAAUCUGCUCCUUUCUCAUUAUGGGAACUUAGAAAAGAAUAACAAUCCUUAUCUCAUGAGUGCUUUAUAAGGAAAAAAUUUGGGUACAUGCAGUGCCUAGCACAGUGUGACAUGUGCUAUUUUAAGCUGCCUGGUACACUUUUGGGAAUUAGGUAUAAGUCAUUAAAAACCAUGAUAACUUAACUCUCUGUUUUUAAAAUUUCCUCCUAAGUGUUUAUGAGUUAACUGUACCAUCUUUAAGGAUGAAAUCCUGCUCUCAGGCCUUAUCAGGAGACUCGUGAUAACCAGAGACCUGCAACGGGACAGUUUACUCAAAGUUGGAGAUGCAAUCACCAACCCCCUGAACCAGACCAAGAGGCGCCCUGGCAGAUGAGCCAACUGGCCUGUUCAAGUGAAUACCCACCUCUCCCUUUGAAUAUUCAUUCCCCAUCCAAAAUGAGAAGCCCCUGCUGGCCCGUGCUCAUGCUCGGGGAGCCACGACUUUGGAAAUGAUUCCACUACAUAGCCUCCUAUUUACUGCAAAUAAACUCUACUUUGUGUGACAAGGGGUUCUGGUGGAGAGGCUGAUUUUAACUCUCCAGGAAGUGAACCUACUUUUGUUCAGUAAUGAAAUCAACUCAAAUAGAGACUCUGGAAUCCCUGUGGAGAGACAGUGUGGUGUGGUGGAAUGCUCACAGACUUGACACUUAGCUGGUCCAAAUUUCUGGUCAGCCACUGAUAGUUCUGUGUCCCUGGGCAAGGCAUGUGACCUUUUGAAACCUCCACUUCAUCAUGGCAAAAUUGGUAAAGUAAUACCUACCUAGCCUGGAAGAUUAGAGAUGACUCAUGAAAGUUCAUGACAUAAUACCCUGUCCACAUGGUCUAAUAAAUAGUUUAUUUUAUUUUUUUUGGUGAGUGAGAUUGGCCCUGA